UGAGCAAUCUGCCCUUCUCAUCGGAAUAAGCGUUGGAAACGACGUCUAAUGCCGAAUACGACCUCCUUUCGCAUGAUCGGAGGUGGAAAGCUCCGGCGGAGAGGGAUGAGCUCGCGGCCUAUCAGCUAGUUGGUGUGGGUAAUGGCUCACCAAGGCGACGACGGGUAGCUGGUCCGAGAGGAUGACCAGCCACAUUGGGACUGAGACACGGCCCAGAUCCUACGGGG
rnacentral:rRNA from 1 species